AAUUCCCACCGCGCCCGCUGGGUGGCGCUAGCGCCGCGCCGUGUCCCGGGAUGAGGGGGAACCGCGCUGCCCAGUCAGUGCCCCGACGCCCCCGCGCCCCUGCCGGGCCCCGCGCGCUGCAGCCACCGCCUCUUCUCGGCUUCCUCUUGCUUUCCAGUAACUCUCCUCCUGGGGAAAAGGCUUUUCACGGAGCAGGCUGGGAGCCUACGGGGCUGGCCUCGGACUGGAUGGGGGUUGGGGGCAGGAGCUGCUUUUUCAAUGAGAAGAAUGAACAGACCUAGUGGGCGUUGCCUUUAGACCCAGGUAAGAGGAAUCCCAGCCUUGGGACAUUACUUUCAAGGGCCAAGCCCAUAGGCCAUCCUUCUAGAACAUUCUCUGGGUAGCUAGGGCUUCAUAAGUCACUUACUGGGUUUGUCCUCCUUGAGUGGACUGUGUUGUUGGUGUGCACACCUGUAUUUCCAUGGAAUGGUAUCUUAGUCCUGCUGCUAUAACAGAAUACCUGAGACUGAAAAAUGUAUAAACAAUAGACAUUUAUUUCUCACAGUUCUGGAGGCUGGGAAAUCCAAGAUCAAGGCACCAGCUGGUUUGGUGUCUGGCGAGGGCUGCUCUCUGCUUCCAAAAUGGUGCCUUGGGGCUGGGCGUGAUGGCUCAUACCUAUAAUCCCAGCACUUUGGGAGGCCAAGGCGGGCAGAUCACCUGAGGUCAGGAGGUUAAGACCAGCCUGGCCAACAUGGUGAAAACCCCAUCCCUACUAAAAAUACAAAAAAUUAGCCAGGCAUGGUGAUGCAUGCCUGUAAUUCCAGCUACUUGGGAGGCUGAGGCAAGAGAAUUGCUUGAACCCAGGAGGCAGAAUUUGCAGUGAGCCGAGAUUGCACCACUGCACUCCAGCCUGAGUGACAGAGCGAUACUCUGUCUCAAAAGACAAACAAACAAAAAACCAAAAUGGUGCCUCAUUGCUGGAUCUUCCAAAAGGGAUGAACGUAUGUUCUCGAAUGACAGAAAAGACAGAAGGGCAGAAAGUGUCCAAACUCACUCCAUCAAUCCCUUUUAUAAGGUGCUAAUCACUCCCUAAACACCCCAUCUCUUAUUACUGUUGCACUGGGGAUUCAGUUUCAGCAUGAGUUUUGGAGGGAUAGAGACAUUCAAACCACAGCAUUGUGCACACUCCUUUUUGUAUGGAAUGGCCAAGGUGCAGCUAUUUGCAGAGGCUCUGACAGAGCUCUGCUGUGGAGCUGGGGUGUCCACAUGCCUGUAUGGAAGAACUUUCAUGGCACCGGAGCCUGGUGGGAAGAGAAGUGGGCUGGGCUAUAGACUGGGCACCAGGGACUAUCACCUCGUGCCAGCACAUUUAGUGUAGAGUUCCAGAGAGGCCACAAAUUCUUCAUUUGAACUGGACUCCCCAGCCUCAUGUUCCUCUGCAGGCUGUAAAAGGUAAUGCCAGCAGAUGUUGGCAGUGCUGGAGACGCCUGGUGGGCAGAGGUUACCUGGCUGGAGUGGCAGGUGUGAGGAGAUGCCUCCCAGCAUAAGGAAUGUGGGCUUCUGUUGGAUCUCUUGUUCCAAGCCUCACACAUGUUCAAGGCAGCCUGGGUAUGUCUUGGCCCAUUCAAUCCCUCAAAGCCCUGUUUAAUUCUCAUCUUGCUGUCACCUAUGUGGUGCCAAGAAACAAGUCACCAAAAUAAUGAAAUGCCUACCUAAGCUUAAAAACAAAACCAUGAGGUCUUUCUAAAUAAAUUAUGAAAAAGUGCAAACUGCAGGUCCCUGUAAUGAUUUCAAAGACUCCGUUCCAACAAUGCAUUAAUUUAAAAAGGGAGUAUAAGGCAAAGGGGGGUGAUUAGAAGAGGAAGGCAGCUGACAUCAAACUGAAUAUACCAAGUUUCCUCCUCAAAAACGAGUGUGCAUUAUUUGUGGUGACCAUUCUUGGUAUUGUUCUAUUGCGUAAAACACAGCAUAGCAUCACUCUUUUAGAUGCCAUUCAUUUAAUAUAUGGGCAAAUGUACAUGGUUAGGCUAGACUGGAGCGCUUGUCUACACUGCUUAAAAGAAAA